rnacentral:rRNA from 1 species
GGAGGAAAGUAGGGGAUCGCAAGACCUUGCGCUUUUGGAGCGGCCGAUGUCUGAUUAGCUAGUUGGUGAGGUAAAGGCUUACCAAGGCGUCGAUCAGUAGCUGGUCUGAGAGGACGACCAGCCACACUGGGACUGAGACACGGCCCAGACUCUACGGGAGGCAGCAGUGGGGAAUUUUGGACAAUGGGGGAAACCCUGAUCCAGCCAUGCCGCGUGAGUGAAGAAGGCUUCGGGUUGUAAAGCUCUUUCAGCCGGAACGAAACGGUCACGGUUAAUACCCGUGACUACUGACGGUACCGGAAGAAGAAGCACCGGCUAACUACGUGCCAGCAGCCGCGGUAAUACGUAGGGUGCGAGCGUUAAUCGGAAUUACUGGGCGUAAAGCGUGCGCAGGCGGUUUUGUAAGUCAGAUGUGAAAUCCCCGGGCUUAACCUGGGA